UACGUAGGGGGCAAGCGUUGUCCGGAAUCAUUGGGCGUAAAGCGCGUGUAGGCGGCCCGAUAAGUCCGCUGUGAAAGUCCAGGGCUCAACCCUGGGAUGCCGGUGGAUACUGUCGGGCUCGAGUCCGGAAGAGGCGAGUGGAAUUCCUGGUGUAGCGGUGGAAUGCGCAGAUAUCAGGAGGAACACCAAUAGCGAAGGCAGCUCGCUGGGACGGGACUGACGCUAAGGCGCGAAAGCGUGGGGAGCGAACAGG
rnacentral:rRNA from 1 species